UCCGGUUUAUCACCGACAGUCACCUUAGAGUGCUCAACUAAAUGCUGGCAACUAAGGUCAAGGGCUGCGCUCGUUGCGGGACUUAACCCAACAUCUCACGACACGAGCUGACGACAACCAUGCACCACCUGUCACUUUGUCCCCCGAAGGGGAAUGUCCUAUCUCUAGGAUUGUCAAAGGAUGUCAAGACCUGGUAAGGUUCUUCGCGUUGCUUCGAAUUAAACCACAUGCUCCACCGCUUGUGCGGGCCCCCGUCAAUUCCUUUGAGUUUCAGCCUUGCGGCCGUACUCCCCAGGCGGAGUGCUUAAUGUGUUAACUUCGGCACUAAGGGCAUCGAAACCCCUAACACCUAGCACUCAUCGUUUACGGCGUGGACUAC
rnacentral:misc_RNA from 1 species